rnacentral:siRNA from 1 species
GCCAAGGAUGACUUGCCGA